GAUGAACGCUGGCGGCGUGCCUAAUACAUGCAAGUCGAGCGAACGGACGAGAAGCUUGCUUCUCUGAUGUUAGCGGCGGACGGGUGAGUAACACGUGGAUAACCUACCUAUAAGACUGGGAUAACUUCGGGAAACCGGAGCUAAUACCGGAUGAUAUUUUGAACCGCAUGGUUCAAAAGUGAAAGACGGUCUUGCUGUCACUUAUAGAUGGAUCCGCGCUGCAUUAGCUAGUUGGUAAGGUAACGGCUUACCAAGGCAACGAUGCAUAGCCGACCUGAGAGGGUGAUCGGCCACACUGGAACUGAGACACGGUCCAGACUCCUACGGGAGGCAGCAGUAGGGAAUCUUCCGCAAUGGGCGAAAGCCUGACGGAGCAACGCCGCGUGAGUGAUGAAGGUCUUCGGAUCGUAAAACUCUGUUAUUAGGGAAGAACAUAUGUGUAAGUAACUGUGCACAUCUUGACUGUACCUAAUCAGAAAGCCACGGCUAACUACGUG
rnacentral:rRNA from 1 species